rnacentral:rRNA from 1 species
UACAGAGGUCCCAAGCGUUACUGAGAAUCACUGGGUUUAAAGGGUGCGUAGGUGGUCCGUUAAGUCAGUUGUGAAAUCCCCGGGCUUAACCUGGGAACUGCGUUUGAAACUACAAGGCUAGAGUGUGGCAGAGGGGGGUGGAAUUCCACGUGUAGCAGUGAAAUGCGUAGAGAUGUGGAGGAACACCGAUGGCGAAGGCAGCCCCCUGGGUUAACACUGACGCUCAGGCACGAAAGCGUGGGGAGCAAACAGG